GUUCCCGUAGGGGGGACCUGCGGAGGGAUCAUUACCGAGUUUACAACUCCCAAACCCCUGUGAACAUACCUUAAUGUUGCCUCGGCGGAUCAGCCCGCGCCCUGUAAAAUGGGACGGCCCGCCAGAGGACCCUAAACUCUAAUGUUUCUUAUUGUAACUUCUGAGUAAAACAAACAAAUAAAUCAAAACUUUCAACAACGGAUCUCUUGGUUCUGGCAUCGAUGAAGAACGCAGCAAAAUGCGAUAAGUAAUGUGAAUUGCAGAAUUCAGUGAAUCAUCGAAUCUUUGAACGCACAUUGCGCCCGCUGGUAUUCCGGCGGGCAUGCCUGUUCGAGCGUCAUUUCAACCCUCAAGCCCCCGGGUUUGGUGUUGGGGAUCGGCUCUGCCCUUCUGGGCGGUGCCGCCCCCGAAAUACAUUGGCGGUCUCGCUGCAGCCUCCAUUGCGUAGUAGUCUAACACCUCGCAACUGGAACGCGGCGCGGCCAUGCCGUAAAACCCCAACUUCUGAAUGUUGACCUCGGAUCAGGUAGGAAUACCCGCUGAACUUAAGCAUAUCAAAGACCGAA
rnacentral:rRNA from 1 species